UUGUAGACUAGGCUGGCGGGUUAAUCCUCCGCUGCAACUGUAAAUGGAUUCUGACAGAGCUGAAACUCAGGGAGAGGUUUAGACUUCAAGUAUUAGUCUUGAUUCGGACUGUGAAACCUUGUCCUGUAGGGUUGGUCUAUAUGUGAAUCAGGUCAGACCUUGACGGGAGCAGCCUUAAGCGUGUAGAUUGGCGCUUAUAGGGAAGCAGGGAGGAGAAAGUUUCAAGGUAGCUGAUAUUUGUUUUCUAUAUCAAUUUCUGGGUGCGUCUACAU
rnacentral:SRP_RNA from 1 species